rnacentral:rRNA from 1 species
UACGGAGGGUGCAAGCGUUAUCCGGAUUCACUGGGCUUAAAGGGCGCGCAGGCGGGCUGGUAAGUCAGUGGUGAAAGCCUUGAGCUUAACUCGAGAACUGCCAUUGAUACUAUCAGUCUUGAAUAUUGUUGAGGUUUGCGGAAUGGGUCAUGUAGCGGUGAAAUGCGUAGAUAUGACCCGGAACACCUAUGGCGAAGGCAGCAGGCUAAACAAAGAUUGACGCUGAGGCUCGAAAGCGUGGGGAGCAAACAGG